GCCAGUGUUUCCUCAGUGUUCAGCACUCUUUACACAGGCUUUUCUCUUUGUUUGAGACAGUCAAAGCACACAAGUUUAACUCGCCCGCAACAUCUCAAACUGCAGAGCUGUUUGUGUUCAUACUCUGUAAGAUAAUACUCUUUUUUUCUGAGUCAGCCUCCACUCAAUAUCUGCCAUGCUGCCAAAACUUUAGUCUUUUAAUGACUUGAGAGGCAUUUAUUCGAUAUGCAAACCGGCAUCUGAUGUCAUUCUGUGACAUGAGCCGCAGGCGGCUUUCAUAAGCAUCGAGUCAAAGACACUGAUUUUAUUGAGCUGUGCAGAUAUUACUAAUGUGGACGUUGCAUAAAUGGAACUGCUUGUUCUCUCUCCCUCCUCUUGUGUGGGUUCAACACACCAGUAGGAGGUAACACCAUCCAGCUCCAACUCAGUUCCCGCUUUUGUUCACAGUCAGAUCCCCUUCCAGCCAUGGCCGCCCAUCAGCUCAUCCAAGCAGUGUUUCAGCAGCGAGGCAGCGCAACUUCUGAGGAGAAAGUGUAAAGUGACUCCUAAGAUGCGUCUGACAACUCUCUCUUUUGCCAGAUGUUGCAAUAUUGAAGGAAGAUUUUUGAGCAGGCAGACAGCAAGUUGAAGAUUACACUAGAGAGCUUUCACUGUGUGCGCUUUGGGAAAACUCUUUAUCAGACAGCAUUCAAAACCAAUACGUUAGAUUUUACAGAAAUGUAGGACCGAUAUCAGGCAAGUGCACUAGUCUGUGCAAAACUCCACUCCUGUAAUUAACGAGCCACAAAUAUUCACCGUCUUUCAUUUGGAUCAGUCGAUAAAUUACCCCAAAUCAACUUGUCGCUGCUCUAAAACAGUAAGUGACACACUGUUUUGCUGCUCUGCCAUCACGGCUGUUAUAAGGCAGCUAAAUGAGUGUCAAAGAACUUACUUUAGGUCAAUUAUCAUGCAACUAGAAGAGCAGAGCCAGCAGAAAAUGUCCCAUUGGUCAGAGCUUCACAGAUUAAAGAAUUCAGAGUUAAAAGUCUGUGUCUACCACACUCUUCUGCAGACAAAGGACAGAGUGCUGAGCUGCUACAAACAAAGAAUUUGCUUACAGUGGUGUGGAAAAAGUGUUUUCCCCCUUCCUGGUUUCUUAUUUUUUUGCAUGUCUAUCACACUUCAAUGUUUCAGAUCAUCAAACAAAUGUAAAUUUUAGUCAAAGACACAAGUGAACACAAAAUGCAGUUUGUAAAAGACGUUUUUUAUUAUUUAGGGAGAAAAAAAGAAUACAAACCUACAUGGCCCUGUGUGAAAAAGUGAUUGCCCCCCAUAUUAAAACAUCACUUGACCGUGGUUUAUCACACCUGAGUUCAAUUUCUCUAGCCACGCCCUGAUUACUGCCACACCUGUUCUCAAUCAAGAAAUCAUUUAAACAGGACCUGCCUGACCAAAUGAAGGAGACCAAUAGAUCCUCAAUAACUAGACAUCAUGCUGAGCUCUAAAGAAAUUCAGGAACAAAUAAGAAAUUAAAAUCAAUCAGUCGGGAAAAGGUUAUAAAGCCUUUUCUAAAGCUUUGGGACUCCAGCGAACCGCAGUGAGAGCCAUUUUCCACAAAUUGUGAAAACAUGGUGAACCUUCCCAGGAGUGGCCGGCCAACCAAUAUUACCCCAAGAGCGCAGUGACGACUCAUCCAAGAGGUCACACAAGACCCCACAACAACAUCCACAGAACUGCAGGCCUGACUUACCUCAGUUAGGGUCAGUGUUCAUGACUCCGCCGUAAGAAAGACACUGGGCAAACAUGCAUGGCAGAGUUCCAAGACGAAAAGGGCUUUUCUUCUGCAGAGCUCCAGUAGCUUAUUAGCAAUUCUCCUCUGAGUCGUGGGCGGAGACAGCGCUGCUCUGCACACUCCUCUUUACGCUAGCUUGUAGCCUAACAUUGCUGGUGUAGUAGAAGUAGAAGCUCUCAGACACUAAUGUCUUUGGGGACAUGAUGAAAGUUAAUAUCAAAAUUAGCUUUCUUACCAGCAUUGUAAUCCGCUACUGCACACGCUUGUUCCACGGUCGUCCUCUCUAGUUUUCUGAGUCUGAGCUUGGAUUUGUGAGGUGAAAUAUUUUACUGUAUCUGAACCUGCAACAGAAUAUACUCAGAAAUGCAAUUUUGCACUUAGUUUUCUCAUGAUAUGUCCUGUAGCAUCAGAAAAAUGUCAUGAACAUGUAGACAAGAAAAACAUGAUGUUGAUCAGAGUGGGUCUUUUAAUAGAAUUGACUCACAUUAGAAAUCACUGUCCUCUGACUCCAACCAGGGUUAGCAGUAUGCAGUGCUAAUUUUUCGAAGCGUAUACUCUGCACUGAAGGAUUGACCAAAUUCAGACUCUUCAUGAAGAUAAAGAUGCUAUGGGGACAUCUCAUCUGCUUCCUGAAAGGUGUUUUGAGUCCGAUUACUUUCUUCCAGGAAGAUUAGUCUAACGUUUUCUCUGUGACUGUUCCUCAACCUUUCUUGCCAACUUCCAGCAAGUGACGCUGAAGAAAACCCUCGAAUGCACCACAGAACUGUGCAUCAUGCAGGAGAGGGAUCCUCCAGGCUUUUAAGACACACGCACACACACACAAAUUCACACCUGACAGUUAUUUCUGCAGGUUUCCUACACCCCCACACCACCACCACCUCCUUUCUCUAAUGACACCAAACAGUCCCACAUGCAGUCGGGUCUUCCCUGUUUAUACAGUCUCUGCCAGCGUCACGGUUGUAGCUGCUACUUGAAUAAAAGCUCGACAUGCGCGGUUGCCAUAGCGACGCCAUGGUAAUGAGCCUGCAUCCUAAUGAUGCCUCGGUGGGUUGUUUGAGGAGUUGAGAUAUCUCGGGACAAUGAGUCGACUGGCGAAUGACAGCCUUCGAGGCUUGACGGAUGCAGUGCCAUGUGAUUAAUGCAGAGCUGUGGGAGAAGCCCAGACUACACAUGAGACUCUGAAGUGAGGAAAAGACCCUCAAGUUUCACUUAUCACGUACCAGUGAGGUUGCCCCACCCAGGCUUAAAUGUGAUCACACUGUUGAACAGGAUCCUUGUUUGGUUUGAACAAACCCCAUUCCUUCUGUCAAUAUUUACUUUGAAGCAUCAGAGGUUGGAUAUGAGAUUUUAAUUUGGCAGAGGUCUUUCAUAGUCCUCGGUGCUGACUUGGUUUUGCGGAGCCUCAUUAUGUCCCGAUAGAAAAGCGCCGCCGCAGCAUCGACUCAUUUAAUUUUUACUCAUGUGAAUAUGAAGCUUCAACGUGAGGCCCCCAGAAUAUCAAUUGAGUUUUUCAAACAGAUAAGCCUCUCCCUCUGUCUCUCCCUCUCUCAUUAUAAUAUCACCCUCAGAAAGUUUUCCUCUGUUUCUUCUUCAGCUUUUUCAUAACUUCUGCUUUUCUUGAUGGAUUUGUCAUUUCCCACAGUACCCAAAUAAAGCUGCUCCUGGCUUUUUCAGAUCUGUCUGAAGCAGCUUUUCCUCUGGUUUCUCACUCUGUUCACACUCCACCACAUGAUCUGAUUUAUCAUUAGUCAAUAUUUCACAGGAUAACCUGUCUCGCUGUCACCCAGGAGGACCUGUCGACUGCCCAUAUUUGCAUAACAGCUACAUUAUCAGACUGCCGCCGUCAUACUGAGAUGAUGAAAGUUAAAGGAUGUAUAAAUCCAGGAAGAGUCUUCUGCAAAACUGGUUGAACUGAUUACACUCAUCACAAGGCGUUUGCGUUUUCAUACAAGGUAAAGCUGGCACAUGAGCUCUUGGCGUCACCUGAGUACAGCCAACAAACAGUUGUUAUUGUAACCAGUGUUUGUGUGUGUGUGUGUGUGUGUGCUGGCCCAGUGCAAAGUUCAAAUACUCGUAAUGGUCUUGACUUAUCAAGCUGCUCUGACUUUUCACCUGCUUAUCCUCAUGAGAAAAGUUUUGAGCAGACCAAAUUUACCUGUGUUCAUUUCUGCAACAUACUCAUUUAGAAAAUACCUCCAAAAAUAGUUUCUCCUCAACCCAUGAUGUGAAAAAAUGUUUUUAAGUACAAUUUAUGAAUAGGCAUGCACAAACAAGCUGGCACCAGAAGUGAAAAAUGAAGAUGAUGCAGAUGUGCAUUUCUAAAGGGUAAUCUUGGGGCCAGCCAUCAAAUUCAAGGAAUCUCCAUUAACACCCUUGUUAAAAUUCCUUUUCUGAAGCAAAGUUGAACAUGUUGUAGAGGAAAUCGAUCUGCCUGGCUUAUUAUUUUGUGUACACACAGGGAGGAGGGUUAUUUAAAUAACUAAUCCUGAGGAUAUCAGCGCUGAGAGUUCCAUGUAUAUUUACAUAAUGAAUGAUGUGACUGGGUCGCCUCCACCUCUGUAUCUGUUGUUGAUCAAAAGUUAGUGCCGAUUGAGUCAGCAUUUCCAUUAUGAUGACACCAUUUAGCUGUGAGUGACGUCACCAGGCUGUAUUUUUCAUACAGUCUUUAGUUGACUCACACUCAUAGACUGUAUAUAGAAUGGACGCUGUCUUCCCACUCGCUGGGUGAAGCCACAGUGAGAACAGCACCCUCUGGUGAUGGGCUGCAGUAUAGGUAAUAAAUCCCGCCUCUGCCAGCAAAGCUUAUGGAGUUGUGGACAAACUUCAGAAAUUAAUUACACAGAAUAUACGUUUUUCUUACCCCUGGUUGCGAUGUUGACAUGUAGUUACUGUUAGACUGGUUUGUGCUCAAGUUCUCUCUUUUUUUUUUUUUUUGCAGCCUCAUUUUUAAAGGUUAUCAGGGGGUAUAUGUUUUCUAUGAUUGACACUUGAUACAGCCUAUGAGCGUACUAAGAUAGCUCACCUGGGAGAUACGCUGUUCGAGCCGAGUGACUCUUCCGUCGAAUGCGUACAACGCUACUGCACAAGUGGUGGUUCCAGGAAGUGGAGAAAAUCCCGGAAAUACCGAGAGCAAUUUGGCUUCAAAUUCGUAAAAAAGAAAGAAGGCGGAGCCAAGUUGUCCAAAGUAUAUACUGUCUAUACUUACACUUUGCAAUAAGUACAAAUAUUUUAGGUGCAGUUAACUUUUCUCACAACAAAUGAUUACUUUUAUUGUCCAUUAACCUUACUUUUAUUUUCAUGAUAAUUUAAUAAAUAAUUGAGUCAUUAAAAAUGCCAAGAAAACAGGGAAAUGUGUCUUAGAAGCACCCAGACUCUUGAUGGGAAGGCAGGAUCUGUAGGAGACACAGAUGUUGUUUUUUAGUUAUGUUCAGUACAUGGAAAGCACACCGUAUAGUAUUUUUCUAGUUAUAUGAACAGAAACUUACACAGCUGAGAAAACCACAUAACCUUAGAGACUUUUAAAAACCUCCAAGUCAGAGUUGACACUUAUUAAUAGUUAAAAUAAAAGAUGCAUGCACUCUGGUUUCUUCCCCUCCAUCAGCACGAAACAACAAACACUCAUUAAGCAGUGCGGUGCAAUUUCAGACCUCCAGUGUCCAGUGAUUUUGCUCCUCAGCUCACUGCAAUUAGUCAUGAGUUCUUCUUCAGGGCAUUGCCUUGUUGCUACAAAACACUUUUAUUUUCUCCUGAGCACAAGUGGUACACUUGUCCGGCAGUCCGCCCCCUGUGGGCGUCUGCUCUGCUGCUCUGUUUGUUUGUCAUCUUCCUGCAGCCUUUUUUUUUUUUCCUUCCUCAGCCCCUCUUGCCAACCG